ensembl:lncRNA
ACACAGCUUGAGUCCAGUCUCUUUGCUACAGGAAGUAAUCCUUCUACUGAAGUUCACAAUGAGACAGAGAGCCAUUUCCACUUCCCCCCCUCACUUCCUGUCUGCCUGUAUACCUUCCAGACCAUUCCAACAGUAGAAUCUUUAGACCACCCUUGCCCCCCCCCCUUUUUCAUCGCUUCUUUCUCCCCUCCCUCACCUUCCUUUCCCCUAUUCUCCUACCCUCUGCCUCCACUCCCUGUUCCUUUCACCCUCUCCUCCUCUUUCCCCACAUCUCCUACCCCUCUGCCUCACUCCGUUCCUUCCUAUCCUCCUCUUUCCCUCCUCUUUCCCCUGUUCUCCUACCCUCUGCCUCCACUCCUUGGUCCUUUCCUCACCCUCCUUUUCCCCUGUUUUCCUCCCCUUCCAUACCCUCUGCCUCCACUCCGUUCCUUUCCUCCUCUCUCCCCACCUCUCCUUUCCCUGUUCUCCACCCUCUGCCUCCACUCCUUGUUCCUUUCCCUCACCUCUCCUUUCCCUGUUCUCCUACCCUCUGCCUCCACUCCCGUUCCUUUCUCCUCUCUCCCCACUCUCCUUUCCCCUGUUCCUACCCUCUGCCUCCACUCCUUGUUCUUCCUCACCUCUCCUUUCCUGUUCUCCACCCUCUGCCUCCACUCCCUGUUCCUUUCCUCACCUCUCCUUUCCCCUUCCUUUCCCCUGUUCCCUACCCUCUGCCUCCACUCCCUGUUCCUUCCCCUGUUCUCCACCCUCUGCCUCCACUCCCUGUCUCUCAUACCCUCUGCCUCCACUCCCUGUUCCUUUCCUCACCUCUCCUUUUCCCGUUCUCCUACCCUCUGCCCACUCCCUGUUCCUUUUCCCUGUCUCUACCCUCCUCCACUCCGUUUCCUUUCCCCUUUUCCCUACCCUCUGCUCCACUCCUGUUCCUUUCCUCACUCUCCUUUCCUUUCCCCUGUUCUCCUACCCUCUGCCUCCACUCCCUGUUCCUUUCCCCUGUUCUCCUACCCUCUGCCUCCACUCCGUUCCUUUCCCCUGUUCUCCUACCCUCUGCCUCCACUCCCUGUUCUUCCUCACCUCUCCUUUCUUUCCCCUGUUCUCCCUACCUCUGCCUCCACUCCCUGUUCCUUUCCCUGUCUCCUACCCUCUGCCUCCACCCGUUCCUUUCCCCUGUUCUCCUACCCUCUGCCUCCAUCCCGUUCCUUUCCUCACCUCUCCGCCUUGUCUCCUCUACUCCUGCCUCCACUCCCUGUUCCUUCCCCUGUUCUCCUACCCUCUGCCUCCACUCCGUCCUUCCCCUGUUCUCCUACCCUCUCCUCACUCCCUGUUCCUUUCCUCACCUCUCCUUUCCCUUGUUCUCCUACUCUCUGCCUCCACUCCCUGUUCCUUUCCUCACCUCUCCUUUCCCUUGUUCUCCUACUCUCUGCCUCCACUCCCUGUUCUUUUCCUCACCUCUCCUUUCCCUUGUUCUCCUACUCUCUGCCUCCACUCCCUGUUCCUUUCCUCACCUCUCCUUUCCCCCGUUCUCCUACCCUCUGCCUCCCCUCACCUCUUAACGUUACUUCCUUCUCCUCCCCAUUAUAUUCUACAAGGGCUGUGCUUGAAAGUCAUUUAUGUAUAAUAUUUAUCAAACCUGUAAUGUAA